GAUUUUUAAUAGUAAAUCAUAUUUAACCAAUAUAUCCAGAAUACUAUUGUUCCAACAUGUAAAAUGUAUAGACAAUUACUGAGAUAGUGUACAUUCUUCUUUUCAUACCAAGUCUUCAUGCAAGUCUUUAUACUUAAAGCACAUCUCAAUUCUGACCAGCAGCCUUGCAAGGGCUUAAAAGGCACAUGUGGCUACCAGCUACCAUAUUGAACAGACAGCUCUUGAGGUUAAAAAAAUUGCUGAAAUCAUCAGCAUCUUAAGUUGCCUCUUGAUGGACAUGGAGGUAAUACAGAUCAACCAACUCAGUCUUGGCAAGUUGCUAUUUGGGGAAGCUGGUAGUAACUGGAAUGGGGGAACAUACCCCAUUUCAACAGAAUCUGGGUAUUUAUCACUUUUAAAUUAAUGUCUGUGCCAAGCACUGACCAAGCUAUCUCCCCUUUACCCAGGCAAAUCUAACUCAUAUGCAGGUACUUUUUUUCAUUAUCAUUUAAAUUAACAGCCCAGGAAAUUUUUGUCUGUGAAAGAACCACUUCUCAGGGGGGAGAAUAUAACUUUCCUUCUCCCAGAGGGGGAAGAAAUGGUCAGGCGUACCCCACUGACACGUCCCACACAUUCCACACAUCUCGGACAUCCCAUCCCAGCGUGGUCUAUGUGUAGCACACAGGCAUGAGAAAUGAGAUGCAGAGAUGACCAGCUCCAUCAUGCCCCAGCCAUGGUGACACGGUUUGAAUGGUGGCCUGAUCUUACCAGUAUUACCUACCUCACAGGCUUACUGUGAUGACCAAGGGCAAUAACAGAGACAGAGUUCUUAGCAAACUGUAAAGCGCUAUACAAUUCUAAUUAUUAUUGAGAGAGGACACCAUUCCUCACCUGAAAGAGCAGACAGAAGAAAGAGAAAAAAAUAGUAACUUGAAACAGAUGCUGAGCUGGGAGGGGGGAGCGAGGAACCUAUGAAAAUACUGGUCGUUCUUGGUGGACUUCAUUCUCUUGGCAGUGUACAGAGACUUGAGAGACCUCGAUCACCCCUCGGUGCUUAAAAGUAAGAGUGACAGCUCAGAGUGCACGCUUCCACCCCCUGCUCGGUCCCCCGCUACCACCCCACCCCCGCUGCUUUCAUCCCAAAUACAGCGUAACUCAGGAGAGCGGUUCAAAACAGAUUUCUUCCCUGAGUUUAAAUGGGGCCUAAAAAUGCAGGGCCACGGGGGGUAUUGGAGCCUCCCCAGCAGAAGCCACCGAGUCCCGGGAGUCUGGCUCAAGGUUUCUCGGCGGCGCGGCUGCCUCGGUGCUGGCUCUGGGGUGACCUCCCGCCUCCUCCAACGAAAACAGAGAGGCUGGGCCCUCUACCUGUCCAACCGCCCCGUCCCGCCGGCAAACUGCUCAGGGCGGGCGGCUUUUACGAGAUCCAAGGGGAGCCACCCACACAAAGGCGCCUGUGCCUCUGCGCCCCGGGACGGGCCGCCGGGCAUCGCACCCGGGCAGCCAGGGGGGCGCCCGCCGCCCCGCAGAUUCCACCCCGACACAGUCCUGAGCUCGGCACCCUCAGCCAUCGCUCCGUAGAGAGGCCAUCCCUACGCCCCGGUUCAAAGACCGGGGUCCCUGGGCUUGCCACAGGCACCCCCGAAGGCAGGCCCCAAGCUAGGGACGCACAGGCCACCCCGAAGAACUUGGCAUGGUCACCGCGAUGCGCCCGUAACGCUUCUCGCUGCGGGGGCGGCCGAGCGCCCGGCCCGCCAGCUCCCCGCGGCUGGAGACGCCGGCCCGGCCCGCUCACCUCUCGUCCAGUCCACCACUUGUUUGGGGCUCCACUGAGUCACGGGUUCCAUGCUCAUUCGACGUGGAGAUUCCCACCAUCUGAAUGUUGGUAACUGCAUUUUCAUGGUUCGGUUCAACACAUUCCUCUGUCUUCUGCAUAACCUACAAAUUGGCAGCUGGAUCCAGAAACUUGAUUAAACUCAGAUUCAGGUUUUUUGUUUGCUGAGAGGUCAGACUGACGAUGAAACACAGAUGUUGAAGCCUCCAACCUACAAAUAAGAUUCUACGAGGUCCAGUCCCAAAAAGGGAAAUGAAUUUUGAUGAUCCAGCAAGAAAUUCUCAUUAGCGUGAAGGAACACAUGCCUGCCGUCUGUCAAGGGAGGCUAUAAUCACAUCAUUGACUCCCCCACAGCAAGCAGAGCAGUAAUCAUCUUUUUACUAGGCUGCAGAGAUCACAGGGGCAAGCAUGUCCUCUUAGCCCCAGGACUGGCACCCCCUGCAAGUUUAGGUCUUCAGAAAGCUGCCUGCCACUCUUAUCUGGGAACUCAAGUUUUACUGUAACACAAUGACCCCCUGAAAACGAUGCAGGCCUUUGCCAGAUCAAUACAACUGAAGCUCUUUGAUGUCAUCCAGACGCAGGCACCUCCUCACCUCUGUGCCUUUGUCCACACCAUCAGCCCCGCCUGUGGCUUCGCCCCUGCUCUCUUCCUAUUGAAACCCCAACUCAUCUGCACCACCCGGCUCAGAUUCCUUCCCAUUCAGCAGCGACCUUUCUCACAGCUUGGAAUUCUGAUAGGGCUUCCUCCCACCCCGUGUCACUGAUUUGGCAUCCAUCAUGUAUUGGGUUAUGUCGCUGAUUUCCUAUGAAGUCAACUUUCUCACUCAAUUUAAUCUCCUUGGGACUCUGAUAUCUCUUAACACCCAACUCUCUUAGUUCAGUGACAUAAAUAUAAGUAGUGUUUAGUAAAUCCAUUUUGAUUGAUUGGAUUAGAGUAGUAAUACAUGAGUGUUUUAAUGAAGUAUAAGAUGGUUUCUAAAUAUAACAAAUUUUUGUAUGGAUUUACUGCUAUGUAUAAGCACAAAUGUUUAAGCUGAUGAACUGCAAAGCAGUACAAGAACCUUGCGUAUUAAAGAAAAAUUCAGUUCAAUAUAUUGUGUGCACAUAAUUCAAUUCAAGUUUGAAAUGGAUACAUACAUUUGAGAUAAAUGUUGAGAAACAAGAUUUGAAAUAAAUUGGGUUUGUUCAAAUGCUGCUUUUGGGUUUGGGGUGGUCCCAUAAAAUAUAUGUCAGCUGGGACCUCCCCAAUCCUCGGCCUGGCUGAACUGAGGCAGGAGUUAAAUCAAAAACAAUCUGAACAAGUGUGGAUGGUGGGAAAACUCUGACUGCGGUCUGGAAGAAUCCAGGGUCUGAAUAUCAAGAUCAAGAUCCAACUGAUCUAGAAAAUAGAUAACCGAAGGGAGGAAAGAAUGCAAUGUGUGGAAUACUUCAAGGCAACUGUUUCAAAAUUAAAGUUGGAAACAGUUGCAAAUUUCUGUAGAAACUCUUUUAUCUAGAUCAUAACUUAGGGAUAAAAGUGGAGAUUUACAGUAACCAUACAAGGCUGGACAGUGAUUCUUAAGUAUUAACCCUCAAAGAAUCAGAAAAGACUCUUCUACAGAUACAUCCCCCUGCCCGUGUAUACGUUCCGACAUUCCUGUAUUCCCUGUGCAGCCGGGAAUCCCUCAUUUUUUCUUGGUGCAUCUCCAGAGUGCAGAAUAAUGCUUGGAACCUAGUGAGUUCUCAGUAAUAAUUUAACUGUAAACUCUGAACUUAGCUGUCUUGUUCAGUACUUAAAAUGUGCCUGACACAUAGGAGACUCGAUAAAUAUUUGUUAAAUUAGCGGCAGUGAAUGAAUUGGUGAAUGGAUGCUUGCCAAGAUAUCAGACACUCUCUGCAUGUUGGGGAAUGUAAGCUUUCCCUCUAGUAGAUUAAAGGAAUUAAAUCAUUUUUGUAUGGUUUUCAUCAUGUUUCUGUUACCAAGCUCUACAGGCAAUGGAUAUGGGAGGGAUGAUGUACAUCAUUAAAUAAAGGUGCAUGUGAAAUAACUGUUGAGUCACUGAGAAGAAAUGUCUCUGGAUGAAUGGGAUCUAGUGCUGACUGCAAACAAUUAGAUAAAAAGACUCUCCAUCAUCAACCCACGGCAGGCAUGAACAGUCUAAGGUGCUCCUGCUUCAUAUACAAGGCAAAGUUUGGUCAUAGAAAGGCUGGGCUUGUGGCCAUAGCUCACUCCCCCAAUAUUUGUAAGACUGAAACUCCUCUCUCAAUAACAAACACGUGCUGCAAGAAUCAGGUUGAUAACCACCACUCCUAACCACACCCAGCCCAACCAUAAAAGCACGCGACCUCUCCUUACGUCUGCAUCACUGGUGGA